rnacentral:rRNA from 1 species
ACCAGACUCCUACGGGAGGCAGCAGUGGGGAAUAUUGCACAAUGGGGGAAACCCUGAUGCAGCAACGCCGCGUGAGUGAAGAAGUAUUUCGGUAUGUAAAGCUCUAUCAGCAGGGAAGAAAAUGACAGUACCUGACUAAGAAGCCCCGGCUAACUACGUGCCAGCAGCCGCGGUAGUACGUAGGGGGCAAGCGUUAUCCGGAUUUACUGGGUGUAAAGGGAGCGUAGACGGCGGCGCAAGUCUGGAGUGAAAGCCCGGGGCCCAACCCCGGGACUGCUCUGGAAACUGCGGCGCUGGAGUACGGGAGGGGCAGGCGGAAUUCCUAGUGUAGCGGUGAAAUGCGUAGAUAUUAGGAGGAACACCAGUGGCGAAGGCGGCCUGCUGGACGAUGACUGACGUUGAGGCUCGAAAGCGUGGGGAGCAAACAGGAUUAGAUACCCGAGUA